GGCGGCAGAACCAAGAGCCCACGGAACAGACUUUCGGAAGCUGGGGUCAGAGAGAACCUAGGCCAACAACAGUCACAUAGAAGACCCAACUGGCCUUCCUUCCAGCCCUAGCAGGAAAAACCUGGAAAAGAAGUGAAGGUUCUGACCCCAUGCAAGGGCAAGCUAAAGAGGCUUCUGAACGGGGGCUGGAGAUACCAAAGAGCAAGUAAGCUUCUUGUAUCCAACUAGUGAUGCAUUCUGCAGUCAAGAAAAUUAACUCAGAAAAGGAAAUCCAGUGAGAUGGUUCAGUAGGUAAAUAAAAGCACUUGCUGUUAAGUCUGACCUUCAUUCCAACCCGUGGGACCCACAAGAUAGAAGACUCCCAACAACUUAAUCUCUGACCACCCCAACCCCACUGUGGCAUCUGCGCUUCUCACGAUAAAUAAAGGUAAAAAUAAAUAAAUAAAAGAUUUUGUUUGGA
ensembl:antisense Gm15747 predicted gene 15747